GUGCCAGCAGCCGCGGUAAGACGGAGGAGGCAAGCGUUAUCCGGAAUUAUUGGGCGUAAAGGGUCCGCAGGUGGCAGUUCAAGUCUGCAGUCAAAGGUCGGGGCUCAACCCCGGAAAGGCUGUGGAAACUGAACAGCUAGAGUACGGUAGGGGCAGAGGGAAUUCCUGGUGUAGCGGUGAAAUGCGUAGAUAUCAGGAAGAACACCGGUGGCGAAAGCGCUCUGCUAGGCCGCAACUGACACUGAGUGACGAAAGCUAGGGGAGCGAAUGGGAUUAGAUACCCCAGUAGUCCUAGCCGUAAACGAUGGAUACUAGGCGUGGCUUGUAUCGACCCGAGCCGUGCCGUAGCUAACGCGUUAAGUAUCCCGCCUGGGGAGUACGCACGCAAGUGUGAAACUCAAAUGAAUUGACGGGG
rnacentral:rRNA from 1 species